GGGGGUGUUCUGGAUUCGACGGGUUGAGUAUUACCGUUGGUUGCGUGUCGAGAUUGUCCAAUGGAUCUCGUAAUAACAUCCAUUAUGGAUCAAAAGUAAUUGACAAUAAUUACUCUUACCGCUUAGCAGCAUAAACUGACUAAGCCGUCCCGCUGGUUAAGUGCCUGUCAUUGCCAGCCUGGACGUCAUACAAGACAGGAUAGCGUAAGCGUGCUUUCUGUCGCGUUUACGUAAAACUUUAACAGAAUAGUCUGAAGUCGCUUAGGUACUGGGCUCGGCUUUAGGCGAAAUUCCAAUCAGUACCUACACAUGUAGAUGCUAACAGGUCUACCUUCCCGGACCGGGGUUCGACUCCCCGCACCUCCACAA
rnacentral:tmRNA from 1 species